GUAGUCGUGGCCGAGGCGAUGGACUAGAAAUCCAUUGGGGUUUCCUGGCGCAGGUUCGAAUCCUGCCGACUGCG
rnacentral:tRNA from 1 species